UACGUAGGGUGCAAGCGUUUAAUCGGAAUUACUGGGCGUAAAGCGUGCGCAGGCGGUUUUGUAAGUCAGAUGUGAAAUCCCCGGGCUUAACCUGGGAACUGCGUUUGAAACUACAAGGCUAGAGUGUGGCAGAGGGGGGUGGAAUUCCACGUGUAGCAGUGAAAUGCGUAGAGAUGUGGAGGAACACCGAUGGCGAAGGCAGCCCCCUGGGUUAACACUGACGCUCAGGCACGAAAGCGUGGGAGCAAACAGG
rnacentral:rRNA from 1 species